rnacentral:rRNA from 1 species
UACGGAGGGGGCUAGCGUUGUUCGGAAUUACUGGGCGUAAAGCGCACGUAGGCGGCUUUGUAAGUUAGAGGUGAAAGCCCAGGGCUUAACCCUGGAAUUGUCUUUAAGACUGCAUCGCUAGAAUCGUGGAGAGGUGAGUGGAAUUCCGAGUGUAGAGGUGAAAUUCGUAGAUAUUCGGAAGAACACCAGUGGCGAAGGCGACUCACUGGACACGUAUUGACGCUGAGGUGCGAAAGCGUGGGGAG